AUACGGAGGGUGCAAGCGUUACUCGGAAUCACUGGGCGUAAAGAGAGUGUAGGUUGUUUAUUAAGUCGGAUGUGAAAUCCCGGGGCUCAACCUCGGAACUGCAUUCGAUACUGGUAGACUAGAGUUCGGGAGGGGUAAGCGGAAUUCCGUGUGUAGCAGUGAAAUGCGUAGAUAUACGGAGGAACACCUGAGGCGAAGGCGGCUUACUGGACCGAUACUGACACUGAGACUCGAAAGCGUGGGUAGCAAACAGGAUUAGAAACCCCAGUAGUCC
rnacentral:rRNA from 1 species